AUUGAACGCUGGCGGCAGGCCUAACACAUGCAAGUCGAACGGUAACAGAAAGCAGCUUGCUGCUUUGCUGACGAGUGGCGGACGGGUGAGUAAUGUCUGGGAAACUGCCUGAUGGAGGGGGAUAACUACUGGAAACGGUAGCUAAUACCGCAUAACGUCGCAAGACCAAAGAGGGGGACCUUCGGGCCUCUUGUCAUCGGAUGUGCCCAGAUGGGAUUAGCUUGUUGGUGGGGUAACGGCUCACCAAGGCGACGAUCCCUAGCUGGUCUGAGAGGAUGACCAGCCACACUGGAACUGAGACACGGUCCAGACUCCUACGGGAGGCAGCAGUGGGGAAUAUUGCACAAUGGGCGCAAGCCUGAUGCAGCCAUGCCGCGUGUAUGAAGAAGGCCUUCGGGUUGUAAAGUACUUUCAGCGGGGAGGAAGGGAGUAAAGUUAAUACCUUUGCUCAUUGACGUUACCCGCAGAAGAAGCACCGGCUAACUCCGUG
rnacentral:rRNA from 1 species